UCAGGAUGAACGCUGGCGGCGUGCUUAAUACAUGCAAGUCGAACGAAGACAUCUCGCCGAAGCUUGCUUCAUUGAGAUAUCUUAGUGGCGGACGGGUGAGUAACGCGUGGGUAACCUGCCUUACACAGGGGGAUAACAGUUAGAAAUGACUGCUAAUACCGCAUAAGCGCACAUUAUCGCAUGAUAGAGUGUGAAAAGAUUUAUCGGUGUAAGAUGGACCCGCGUCUGAUUAGCUAGUUGGUGAGGUAACGGCCCACCAAGGCGACGAUCAGUAGCCGGCCUGAGAGGGUGAACGGCCACAUUGGGACUGAGACACGGCCCAAACUCCUACGGGAGGCAGCAGUAGGGAAUAUUGGACAAUGGGGGAAACCCUGAAUCCAGCGACGCCGCGUGAGUGAAGAAGUAUUUCGGUACGUAAAGCUCUAUCAGCAGGGAAGAAAAUGACGGUACCUGACUAAGAAGCACCGGCUAAAUACGUGCCAGCCGCGGC
rnacentral:rRNA from 1 species